rfam:Papio anubis isolate 1X1155 chromosome 15, whole genome shotgun sequence.
GGAUGUGAGGGCGAUCUGGCUGCGAUAUCUGUCACCCCAUUGAUUGCCAGGGCUGAUUCCGCUGAUCUCGCUGGCUAGGCGGGUGGCCCUUCCUCCCGCACCGCUCCCGAGGCUGCAUACUCGGUCGAAAAGGAGGAGCAUCCCCCAUAGAGGAGGACAGGUCAAGGAUAUAGGAGUAGCUGCACGCCCCUGUUAACAAGCUCUCAAGGUCCUCCAAACAAGCUCUCAAGGUCUACUUACUGGCCUGUUUUAUCCCAAGCUGGUUACAUAUAAGGACUUUGCAGUCCUG